AGGAAAUUAGUUUAAUUGUAAAAUAUUAACUUGUCGUGUUAAAGAUAUUAGUAAAAUAGUACUUCCUU
rnacentral:tRNA from 1 species